UGCUUCGCCGGCUUUGUCACUCUGCAGAGUAACGUCUGUCGCUUCCGACAGCAUGAACAACGUCAGCCAACAAGGAGACCAAUUCAAAGUAACUUAAAUGAUGUACGGUGUCAAAUUAUGGAUAUAAGAAGAUUCUUUAGGAGCGGUUGGAGAGAGAAGCAGGAGACUGACAGGCCCGAAGGAGCCAUUGUGAUGGAGAUACACAGCUCCUGGCUGCCCUGCAGGACUCUGGGGAAAUGGGAUACAAAUGCCACAGUAUCUGCGGUAUCGCUGCCCAAAACCAAUGCUGUAGCCCGUGGCAAUGAAACAGCAGCCAGGACACCAACACCACAAUGGGGAGGCACUGCUGGAGACUAAAUGGUCAUCUGCCAUAGAUGCAAGGACAAGACACGGAAGGAUUUUCAAGUUGAAUGCAGUGAGAGGAGAAUCAUUCAUUUGGACCACCUCAGCACUAUCAGAUCCCUGCUGACACCUCACCUACCACCCUCAGGGUUUUAGAACAGCCCCCAAGUUGAGAGGGAGAAGGCAGACAGAUGCUCGUCGGUUUG